rnacentral:rRNA from 1 species
UACGAAGGGGGCUAGCGUUGCUCGGAAUCACUGGGCGUAAAGCGCACGUAGGCGGAUUGCUAAGUCAGGGGUGAAAUCCUGGAGCUCAACUCCAGAACUGCCUUUGAUACUGGCGAUCUUGAGUCCGGGAGAGGUGAGUGGAACUCCGAGUGUAGAGGUGAAAUUCGUAGAUAUUCGCAAGAACACCAGUGGCGAAGGCGGCUCACUGGGUCAUUACUGACGCUGAGGCACGAAAGCGUGGGGAGCAAACAGG